UACAGAGGGUGCGAGCGUUGUCCGGAAUUACUGGGCGUAAAGGGCGCGUAGGUGGCGUCGCAAGUCGAUGGUGAAAGCUCGGCGCUCAACGCCGAGUCGGCACUUGAUACUGCGAGGCUGGAGCACUGUAGGGGCUAAUGGAAUUCCGGGUGUAGCGGUGGAAUGCGUAGAGAUCCGGAAGAACACCGGUGGCGAAGGCGGUUAGCUGGGCAGUUGCUGACACUGAGGCGCGACAGCGUGGGGAGCAAACAGG
rnacentral:rRNA from 1 species